GCCCAAAGCUGUCAUCAUAUGGUAUGGGGUAAAACUGAAAACAUUUCCCCUAAAUCAGGAAUAAGACAAAAAUGUCUGCUCUCAAUAUUCAAUAUAGAUUUUGCAAUUUCAUCUAGAGGGAUUGGGCAAGAGAAAGAAAAAAUGGGGUUAUAAAUAGAAAAGGAAUUAUCCCUAUUCAUGAUAUGAUCCUAUACUUGAAAGAUCCUAAAAGCUCCACUAGAAAAUUUCUACAUCUGAUAAAUUCACCAAAUUAAAAUACAAAGAAAAAAAAAUCAUUGGUUUUCCUAUACUCAAAAUGAACCUGCUUAUAAAGAAAUCAGAAAAAUAAGUCCAUUCACAAAACUUUAAAAAUGAAAAACAGAAACCUAGGAUAAAUCUAACCAAAGAAUUGAAAGACCUCUACAAGGAAAAUUACAGAACACUGAAAAAAAGAAAUAGAAGACAUUAGAAGAUAGACCUCCCAUAUUCACUGGCAGGCAGAAUUAAUAUUGUUGAAAUGACCAUAUUAACAAAAGUAUUCUACCGAUUCAGUAUAAUCCCAGUCAAAAUACCAAUGACAUUCUCCAUUGUAUUAGAAAAAAAGCAGUCCUAAAAUCAUAUGGAAGAACAAAAACCCAGAAUAGCCAAAGCAAUUCUGAUCAAAAAGAGAAAUGCUGGGGGCAUCACAACACAUGAUUUCAAAUUGUACCUGAGAGCUACAGUAAAAAAUAAACAGCUGGUAAUGGUAUAAAAACAGAGAUAUAGAUACAGAUAGUCAACUGAUCCUUGGCAAAGGCACCAAAAACAUUAGUUGGGAGAAAAGAGCCUACAGCCUUUUUAACAAAUGGCACUAGGAAAACUGGAUGUCCAUAUGAAGAAGAAUGAAACUAGAUCCCAUCUCUCACCCUACAAAGUCAAUUUAAAACAGAUGAAAGACUUGGGAAUUAGACCAGAAACUCAAUAAGUGCUAGAAGAAAACAGGUGAAACACUAACAGUUAUAUAGCCGAACAAUAACUUCUUCAGUAAGAUUACUAAAGCUCAGAAAAUAAACCCAAGAAUCAUUAAAUGGAAUGGCUUCAAAUUAAAAACCUUCCGCACAGCAAAGAAACAAUUUUGUCACAUCAUACCAAAUACUGUACAAUUAUUAAAAAAAAAAAAACUGAUUAACAAAUUUACUACCUAUAAAAAAUUUACUACCUAUAAAAACUUUGAAAUAAAUACUACGUUUCUAGAGUUUUGGGAAAAGACAUUCAACUUUUGGAGGGGAGUGGGUACUGGGAAUUGAACCCAGGGGCACUUAACCAAUAAGCCACAUUCCAUCUUUUUAUAUUUUAUUUAGAGACAAGAUCUCAUUAAUUUGCUUUGUGCCUCACUAAAUUGCUGAGGCUGAACUUGCGAUUCUCCUUUCUCAGCCUCCCCAGACACUGGGAUUAUAGGUGUGUGCCACCCUGCCCAGCUGAAAUAGUGAAGAUAACAAACUUCAAGUUUACUCUUUCUAAAUGUUCAAUUGAACAAAACAUUACAUGCAUAACUGUAGAAAUGUACCCAUGAAAGCAUUUUCUAGAACUAGCUGUCAUUUUAUUUCAAGGAAUACACUGUAUUUCAAAUUAUCAAUGUUCAAAAAGUACCUGUCCUAUAAGCAGGACACUGGAACAACGUAUACUUUAUGUUAAUGUGUACUGUACUGCACGUGUUGCUGCCUAACACUAACAUGUUGUUCUUUGUGGUUACUUGUUGACAAGUUGUGACCUGUGUUCAUACUCUGAAAAAUAUAUUAGAGAAAACAUUUAUUCUGAAUGCUUGAGAAAAACAAAAUUUCUGGUAAAUUUUUGGCAUCUUUAAGAAUAUUUGACAGUGGGCGAAAUGAUCAUCAUGUUAUGGACAAAAUUCACUGAAACAAUUUAUAAGAGAUAAGCCCACGAGAUUCAGUUAUAAUUUUGGGGCCCGGUGCAAAAUAUGGGGAUAUUGUUAUAACUUUGACUUGUAUUGGGGAAAAAAUGCUCAAGAAGAAUCCAACAAUGAUCUUUUGCUUGAGAGUAAGAUCAUUUUACACGUUUGAAGGUAGAAAACCUAUAAUCACAAUUUCAUUUGACAAUCUAAUCACUAGUUAUGACUUGGUGUACCUUAAAAACAUUGGAUGCCAAGCUACAGACACCAUGAGGGGAAAAAAAAAAAAACAGAUUAAACAAGUGUCCUCUGAAACUGAAUCAUUGAUAAAAAUGCAAGCCAAGAGAGCCAUAUGAUUAUAAGUUCAAUACAAAUAAUUCUCAUUGUAAAAUGGUUAGAUUACAAAUAUGUCACUGUUGAAGCAAACUGUAAUACAGUGGAAUCACUUGGCAAAGUUCAACAAUGGGGGGGGGAAAGUGAAUCAAUAUAAGUCAACCAAAGGUAGUGGGUUCCUAUAACUAUUUCAAUGGCGAUGUGGACAAACACAACUGGUUUCCAAAUAGUCCA
rnacentral:lncRNA from 1 species